AACGAACGCUGGCGGCAGGCUUAACACAUGCAAGUCGAACGCCCCGCAAGGGGAGCGGCAGACGGGUGAGUAACGCGUGGGAACGUGCCCUUCGCUUCGGAAUAGCCCCGGGAAACUGGGAGUAAUACCGGAUACGCCGUAUUGGGAAAGAUUUAUCGGCGAAGGAUCGGCCCGCGUUAGAUUAGCUAGUUGGCGGUGUAAUGGACCACCAAGGCUACGAUCGAUAGGGGGUCUGAGAGGAUGAUCCCCCACACUGGUACUGAGAUACGGACCAGACUCCUACGGGAGGCAGCAGUAGGGAAUAUUGGUCAAUGGGCGCAAGCCUGAACCAGCCAUGCCGCGUGCAGGAAGAAGGCCCUCUGGGUUGUAAAACUGCUUUUUAUACAAGAGAAAACCCUGGUACGUGUACCAGGUUGAUAGUAUUGUAAGAAUAAGCAUCGGCUAACUUCGUGCCAGCAGCCGCGGUAAU
rnacentral:rRNA from 1 species